rnacentral:rRNA from 1 species
AGCGAACGUUAGCGGCGGGCCUAACACAUGCAAGUCGAACGAGAAUGGGGGGGCAACUCCUCUAGUAAAGUGGCGGACGGGUGCGUAACACGUUGGUAAUCUACCUUCCGGCGGGGGACAACAGUCCGAAAGGAUUGCUAAUACCGCAUACGUCGGCGAGAUCUACGGAUCUUGUCGGGAAAGAUGGCCUCUCCUUGGAAGCUGUCACCGGAAGAUGAACCUGCGGCCCAUCAGCUUGUUGGGAGGUAACGGCUCACCAAGGCUAAGACGGGUAGCUGGUCUGAGAGGAUGAUCAGCCACACUGGGACUGCGACACGGCCCAGACUCCUACGGGAGGCAGCAGUGGGGAAUA